AACGAACGCUGGCGGCAGGCUUAACACAUGCAAGUCGAGCGCCCCGCAAGGGGAGCGGCAGACGGGUGAGUAACGCGUGGGAAUCUACCCAUCUCUACGGAAUAACGCAUGGAAACGUGUGCUAAAACCGUAUACGUCCUUCGGGAGAAAGAUUUAUCGGAGAUGGAUGAGCCCGCGUUGGAUUAGCUAGUUGGUGGGGUAAAGGCCUACCAAGGCGACGAUCCAUAGCUGGUCUGAGAGGAUGAUCAGCCACACUGGGACUGAGACACGGCCCAGACUCCUACGGGAGGCAGCAGUGGGGAAUAUUGGACAAUGGGCGCAAGCCUGAUCCAGCCAUGCCGCGUGAGUGAUGAAGGCCCUAGGGUUGUAAAGCUCUAUCACCGGUGAAGAUAAUGACGGUAACCGGAGAAGAAGCCCCGGCUAACUUCGUGCCAGCAGCCGCCGUAAGAC
rnacentral:rRNA from 1 species